GGAGAGGUGGCCGAGUGUUGAAGGCGGCGGCCUCGAAAGCCGUUUUACGGGUAACCGUAACCAGGGUUCGAAUCCCUGCCUCUCCGCCA
rnacentral:tRNA from 1 species